rnacentral:rRNA from 1 species
AGAGUUUGAUCCUGGCUCAGAUUGAACUCUGGCGGCAGGCCUAACACAUGCAAGUCGAACGGUAACAGGAAGCAGCUUGCUGCUUCGCUGACGAGUGGCGGACGGGUGAGUAAUGUCUGGGAAACUGCCUGAUGGAGGGGGAUAACUACUGGAAACGGUAGCUAAUACCGCAUAACGUCGCAAGACCAAAGAGGGGGACCUUCGGGCCUCUUGCCAUCGGAUGUGCCCAGAUGGGAUUAGCUAGUAGGUGGGGUAACGGCUCACCUAGGCGACGAUCCCUAGCUGGUCUGAGAGGAUGACCAGCCACACUGGAACUGAGACACGGUCCAGACUCCUACGGGAGGCAGCAGUGGGGAAUAUUGCACAAUGGGCGCAAGCCUGAUGCAGCCAUGCCGCGUGUAUGAAGAAGGCCUUCGGGUUGUAAAGUACUUUCAGCGGGGAGGAAGGGAGUAAAGUUAAUACCUUUGCUCAUUGACGUUACCCGCAGAAGAAGCACCGGCUAACUCCGUGCCAGCAGCCGCGGUAAUACGGAGGGUGCAAGCGUUAAUCGGAAUUACUGGGCGUAAAGCGCACGCAGGCGGUUUGUUAAGUCAGAUGUGAAAUCCCCGGGCUCAACCUGGGAACUGCAUCUGAUACUGGCAAGCUUGAGUCUCGUAGAGGGGGGUAGAAUUCCAGGUGUAGCGGUGAAAUGCGUAGAGAUCUGGAGGAAUACCGGUGGCGAAGGCGGCCCCUUGGACGAAGACUGACGCUCAGGUGCGAAAGCGUGGGGAGCAGACAGGAUUAGAUACCCUGGUAGUCCACGCCGUAAACGAUGUCGACUUGGAGGUUGUGCCCUUGAGGCGUGGCUUCCGGAGCUAACGCGUUAAGUCGACCGCCUGGGGAGUACGGCCGCAAGGUUAAAACUCAAAUGAAUUGACGGGGGCCCGCACAAGCGGUGGAGCAUGUGGUUUAAUUUGAUGCAACGCGAAGAACCUUACCUGGUCUUGACAUCCACGGAAGUUUUCAGAGAUGAGAAUGUGCCUUCGGGAACCGUGAGACAGGUGCUGCAUGGCUGUCGUCAGCUCGUGUUGUGAGAUGUUGGGUUAAGUCCCGCAACGAGCGCAACCCCUAUUGUUAGUUGCCAUCAUUAAGUUGGGCACUCUAGCGAGACUGCCGGUAAUAAACCGGAGGAAGGUGGGGAUGACGUCAAAUCAUCAUGCCCCUUAUGACCUGGGCUACACACGUGCUACAAUGGUUGGUACAACGAGUCGCGAGUCGGUGACGGCAAGCAAAUCUCUUAAAGCCAAUCUCAGUUCGGAUUGUAGGCUGCAACUCGCCUACAUGAAGUCGGAAUCGCUAGUAAUCGCGGAUCAGCACGCCGCGGUGAAUACGUUCCCGGGCCUUGCACACACCGCCCGUCA